GACCAGGCCAUCCAUUUUGUUUGUCAUCUUGUAGAUGAGCUGAAAGACCUGGCGCUGCCUUUCCUGCAUAUCCUCCUGCAGCAUAUCUGCUUCCAGAUGGUGGAGAAGAGUGAGUUUCGAAGCCAUGGAGCCCAGGCUGUGGGUAUGCUGACGUCUCAGAUGGCAAGUACAGACUAUGCCUGCUUCAUCAAGUGGCUGUUUAACUACUCCAGACAC